rnacentral:rRNA from 1 species
UGCCAGCCGCCGCGGUAAUACGGAGGGGGUUAGCGUUGUUCGGAAUUACUGGGCGUAAAGCGCACGUAGGCGGAUUAGAAAGUUAGAGGUGAAAUCCCGGGGCUCAACCCCGGAACUGCCUUUAAAACUACUAGUCUAGAGUUCGAGAGAGGUGAGUGGAAUUCCGAGUGUAGAGGUGAAAUUCGUAGAUAUUCGGAGGAACACCAGUGGCGAAGGCGGCUCACUGGGUCUGUAUUGACGCUGAGGUGCGAAAGCGUGGGGAGCGAAGAGGAUUAGAUA